rnacentral:tRNA from 1 species
GUCCUUGUCGAUUAGUGGUUAGAUCAUCACGUUGUGGCAGCGCAAAUCCGUGAAGACGGAGGCUCGAAUCCUCCCUGGGACA